GGGCCUCGUCUCAGUGGUAGAGCAUCUGCUUUGCAUGCAGAAGGUCCCAGAUUUAAUCCCUGCCAUCUCCC